CAGUCGCCGCGGGAAUACGUAGGGCGCAAGCGUUGUCCGGAAUUAUUGGGCGUAAAGAGCUCGUAGGCGGUCUGUCGCGUCUGGUGUGAAAUCCCGAGGCUCAACCUCGGGCUUGCAUCGGGUACGGGCAGACUAGAGUGCGGUAGGGGAGACUGGAAUUCCUGGUGUAGCGGUGGAAUGCGCAGAUAUCAGGAGGAACACCGAUGGCGAAGGCAGGUCUCUGGGCCGCAACUGACGCUGAGGAGCGAAAGCAUGGGGAGCGAACAGGAUUAGAUACCCCCGUAGUCCCUGUCUCUUAUAU
rnacentral:rRNA from 1 species